rnacentral:lncRNA from 1 species
GUUGCAAGAUCCAUCACUUCCUUCUAUCUUCUCAUUUUUUUAAAUUUCAAAUAAUUAAUAAUAGUAAAAUCAUGAAGUCUUUAUUAUCUCAUGAGUACAUAUUGUCACGAUCAAACAAAUCUCAUAUUUAAUAUGACUGCAUUAUGACAAAAAUUCUUCAUCUUACAUACAGGGUUCACAGAAGUAACCCAAAAAUAUUCUCAAGUAUUUAGUAAAAACUGAAGAUUUGUGUAGACUACUCUCAUUGGUCAAAGAUUUAUUCAUAAGUGUCUUUACAUUGGAAUCCAUCAAUAUGGUUUUCAAUGCUUUGUUCCAGAAUACUGUAUUAGUUAAAGGCAUCAAAGUCUAAAAAAAUUCAGUGUUGAUCUUACUUUUCUUAGUUUGAACGUUUUGUUAUUUAAUAUUUUCAUUAGUUUAAACAAAAAAAAAAAAAAAAAAGGAUCUAUAUUCAAGAAAAUUAUAUCUUCAACAAAAAAAAUCCAAUUUUCACAAAUUAUAAUAUUUUAAAACUAAAAGCAGAAGACCUAUAUUUGCUGGAAGUUCUUGACGUUGAAUGAGAUGAAAAACAUUUUCAUGCCUACUGCAUACACAAAGGAACAAAGGGAUAUAUAUUACCAUUGUGUAUUAAUACAGCUUUGAGGCUUACCUAGGAAGAGUCAAUAAAUAAACGCCACUCAUUUCGUUCAUAAUUAAGGUAGUGGAUAUUCUUGAUUGUGAGAAGUUGGUCUAAAAACCAAUUUCAAAUUUGG